GUUGUUGUUAAAUUACGAUGAAACCUAAAGGCGCAAUGAAAGUGAAGACGGCUCUAGGGUCGAUCGAGGGAGGAUGGCUCGGGCUCGCCCGGGCCCGCACUCCCGGGGCGUCUCACGGUCGUUACGACCAGAGGCGCACCAAGAGCGUACACGUUGGGACCCGAAAGAUGGUGAACUAUGCCUGGUCAGGACGAAGUCAGGGGAAACCCUGAUGGAGGUCCGUAGCGAUUCUGACGUGCAAAUCGAUCGUCGGAACUGGGUAUAGGGGCGAAAGACUAAUCGAACCAUCUAGUAGCUGGUUCCCUCCGAAGUUUCCCUCAGGAUAGCUGGCACUCGCUCGAAAAAACGAGUCUCAUCUGGUAAAGCGAAUGAUUAGAGGCCUUGGGGCCGAAACGACCUCAACCUAUUCUCAAACUUUAAAUGGGUGAGAUCUCUGGCUUGCUUGAAGUUAUGAAGCCACGAGAUUUUUACAAAUAUGGAUCAGAGUGCCAAGUGGGCCAAUUUUGGUAAGCAGAACUGGCGCUGUGGGA
rnacentral:rRNA from 1 species